CUACAUAUCUAACUGAAUAAAGAUCAAAUCUUUACCUAGAUCACAAUGGAACGAGGAUUAAUCUUCAGAAUAUGGAUUCAAGCCUUCGCGUAGGCUUGGAUUUGCAGACCCUCUACUUUGUGCGCACGUCAGGCCCUAAAGGAAAGCGGGAUGAAGCUUCGAAUCGAAGCACCUUCGUAAAGCCACCAAAAGAGAGAGGAAAGGUGCUGGUAUGACACCUCACACUAGCAAAAGGGACACCCAAGGAGGACCCACAGCUUGGAGAAGAUGGGCGGCA
rnacentral:lncRNA from 1 species